GAUGAACGCUGGCGGCGUGCCUAAUACAUGCAAGUCGAGCGAACAGACGAGGAGCUUGCUCCUCUGACGUUAGCGGCGGACGGGUGAGUAACACGUGGAUAGCCUACCUAUAAGACUGGGAUAACUUCGGGAAACCGGAGCUAAUACCGGAUAACAUGUUGAACCGCAUGGUUCAACAGUGAAAGACGGUUUUGCUGUCACUUAUAGAUGGAUCCGCGUCGCAUUAGCUAGUUGGUAAGGUAACGGCUUACCAAGGCAACGAUGCGUAGCCGACCUGAGAGGGUGAUCGGCCACACUGGAACUGAGACACGGUCCAGACUCCUACGGGAGGCAGCAGUAGGGAAUCUUCCGCAGUGGGCGAAAGCCUGACGGAGCAACGCCGCGUGAGUGAAGAAGGUCUUCGGAUCGUAAAACUCUGUUAUUAGGGAAGAACAAAUGUGUAAGUAACUAUGCACGUCUGGACGGUACCUAAUCAGAAAGCCACGGCUAACUACGU
rnacentral:rRNA from 1 species